GAUGAACGCUGGCGGCGUGCCUAAUACAUGCAAGUCGAGCGAACAGACGAGGAGCUUGCUCCUCUGACGUUAGCGGCGGACGGGUGAGUAACACGUGGAUAACCUACCUAUAAGACUGGGAUAACUUCGGGAAACCGGAGCUAAUACCGGAUAAUAUAUUGAACCGCAUGGUUCAAUAGUGAAAGACGGUUUUGCUGUCACUUAUAGAUGGAUCCGCGCCGCAUUAGCUAGUUGGUAAGGUAACGGCUUACCAAGGCAACGAUGCGUAGCCGACCUGAGAGGGUGAUAGGCCACACUGAACCUGAGCCCGGGACCCACCUGCUGAGGGAGGACAAGGUAGGGAUACUUCCAAAAGGGAGAAAAGCCACACGGCCCAACACCGGGUGGAAGAGGAGGGUCUUGGGAUAAAAAAACUCUUUAAUGGGGAAAGAAAAAAUGUGAAGAAAAAUAUACACUUUUAAAGGGUCCCUAAUCAGAAGGCACCGACAAACACGGUG
rnacentral:rRNA from 1 species